ensembl:snRNA U6 U6 spliceosomal RNA
GUACUUGCUUCAGCAGCACAUAUGCUAAAAUUGGAAUGAUAGAAAUUAGCAUGGCCCCUGCUCAAGGAUGACAUGCAAAUUAAUGAAGCAUUGCCCAUUUUU